rnacentral:lncRNA from 1 species
UCGUCUCUCCACCUCUCUAGCUCGGCUCGCUGAAAGGCCUCAAACUGUUGCGACCUGACAUACUCCUCACGCCCACACUCAUCUUUGGCGUAUGCCUCAAAUACUUGGUGUUGUGCAAACUAUUCCCGAGCGUACGCUCUCGCAUGCCGCCUGUUGCACUAAACGAACCGUCAUAACAUCAGAGCGCACGACCGUGAGCUAGGCACCCUGCUUCUAAAUAGAUGGGAAGCUUUUGCAUGUUUGAAAUGCUGUAACACAACUAAUCUCGCCCCAACUCCAAAAAAAAUAAUAAAAAAUUAAAAAUAAAUAAACCUUGUAGGUUAGCUAAUAAUAAGUUCAUAAAUUCAAAGUCAUGGUAUAUACCUUUUCAAAAUUUUAUUUUUUUGAAAUAAAAAUUAAGUAUUCAUAGUAUUAUAAUAAAUUGUAUUUGUAUACAAAAUAUUAUUAAAAUAAUAUAUAUAAGAGUGGGACAUAGUGACACACAUAAAAUUGUGAACACCCUAGAUCUCUUCCCUUCAUACACAAACACAGCGCCAGAGGCAGAAUUUUUCGUUGGGUAGGACUCAACUUGUACGGGGCUCGGGGGCUGUAGCCCUGAGCCAAACUUUUUUGGGCAUUUAGCACAAUUUGCUUUUUUUUUUCUUACUUAAAAAGUAGUAAUAAUAAUAAUAAAUAAAUAUUUUUAGGGUUGAAUGCAUGUAAUAUCAUAAACUUAAAGCGAAUUCGAAAUUUAGCAUGACUUUUAAAAGUUUCAAUUAAUAUGACUAACUUUGCUCCGUGUUCAAUUUUAGCACCGAUUUAUUUUCCGGCAAAACCACGUGGCAAUGACGUGUCUUCUGGCGGACACGUCAUAAUUUUGUUCUCUAGCGAGAGAGAGAAAGAGAAAGACGAGAGUGUCUGGCGGUGAAUGGCCGUCGUUGUCUGGCGGCGGCGCUCAUCUCGUCUCCUCCAUAGAGGCGGCAAAUCUAAGAAAACCCAUAGAUCUAGAUAUUAAAAUCAUCCGCUGACAUCGCCAAAAAUCAAAGAAGAGUUGGUGGGUGGUGCUGUCGGUGGGUUUUUUUGGGAGGGAAGGUGGAGGCAGCGCGGUGGAGGAGGCGACGCGAAGGUGGAGACGACGCAAUGGAGGAGGUGAGGGUGGAGGCAGCACAGGGAAGUUGCUCGUCUCGUCUUGAAUUGGGGGUAGGGUUUGCAGAGGCGGUGAGUUUGGGGAGUUAGGGCUUCGAUUGAGGUUGUGUCAUCGCCGGAGGUCGCGAAAGAGGAAGUCACCGACGCGAGCUGUGCGUCGUGCUUGGUAUGGGUGCGCGAGUUUUAGUUUCAAAGAGAGGGCAAGAGUUGACCGACAAUGUUACAGUUGCCAGAAUCGAAUGAGAGAAAUGCAAGCGGCAGCGGCGGCGGAGAAGGGGCACCGGGAAGAGGAAGGUGUGUUGGAGAAGGAGAGGCGCUCGCUGAGGCAGGAGGGGCAAAAUCCGAUGAGCAAAACGCAACGUUUUGCUUGCCAGCCGGAAACUUGUGCCGGCAAGCCACGUCAAUAACACGUAGGAUCGAAGCGUGUGUCGGCAAGCCACAUAAAAAAAAGUGCUAAAAUUGAACACGUAGCAAAGUUAGUUUUAUUAAUUGAAACUUUUAAAAGUCGUGCUAAAUUUGGAAUUCGCCUUAAGUUCAUGAUAUUACAUGCAUUUAAUCCAUAAUUUUAUAGAUCAAAUAAUUUCAAUAAAUUUUAAAUAACUUAAGAAUAUAUAUUUUGAUGAGCUAAAAUUUUCAUACGUUGAGGUAAAAUUUUGAAAAAUUCAAGUAUAUAUAAUAUUUUGUAACACUUUAACUUCGCAGUGAUAAUAUUUUGUGCACAAAUUUAAACAAUUAUACGCCAUUUUUCUUAUUUUAAUUAUAUUGAUAUUGAUAGAUGCUAAGAUAUGUUUUAAUUAAUUAGAUUUUAAUUAUAUUGAUAUUAAGAUAGAUUUUAAUUUAAACUAAUGAUAAAUUAUAAUUAAAAUUAAUAUUAAAAUAGAUAAUUAAGAUUUUUAUUUUAGCACCAGUAAGCUAAGUGUGUGAUUUACUUAGCACCAGUAAGCUAAGCAAGGGAAGUCCAACCCAGUGUGUCGGCACUAAAAAGAGUUUUUCAGUAGAGGGUUUGAUGUGCACCCGUAAGCACAAGCCUAGUCAAUUUUCAAUAUGAUCAACUGACCGUGGAAGUAAGAAUCAAUAUUCUGAACCACGUAAAAACCCUGCGUUCUUUACUGCUUUCAGUUUUCCAAUUCAUACAUGUGCACUAAUUUUGCUAUAUACUGAAUAUUGAUAAUCUAAAGGACAAAUCUUAAAAACUGGCAGUAUGUUUCACUAAAGGCUAUUUCAAAAUCGCUUCCGCUUAAGUAUGAUCGGUCUAAUUGACAAAUUUGAAGACAGUCAGUAAAAUUUCUAACACUACUUUGAUGUCAAAAUUGAAAAGGUUGAACCCUUAUUUGAAACUUCAGUUUGUUGACUAGUUCUUCACACUGAAGUUAACUGACUGACUCAUUAUCAGUCUCAGUUUUGAACCUUCUCUUAAACUGAUCUUUUAUUCAUUGUUCACAUUAGUUUCAGUUUUGCAAAAAUAGCCUAUUGGUGUAUUCCCUCCCUCCAUAUACCAGUUCACUACCCCACCGGAACCCAACAAAUAUGAUUAUACAACAUAUUCAUGUAUUAACCAACAUCGGAAAUCAUAAACAUUUCUCAAGACACAUAUUUUUUUACCUUCAUUUCUGGUGUUACCAGGUUUUGCAAUAGCUACGAUUUACCCGCUCCUAUGCGGCUACAUCUGCCUCAAUGUUGUUUGUCAAAGAAUGGACUACGGUUUAUCCGCUCCUAUACAUGUCAAUUUUUGUAAUAAUAGAAGAUUCAUUAUAAAUUUUUGCAAUAAUAAUGAAUUUGCCUGCCUUUCUCCGGGGCCCGGGCGACAACUGCCCCAUCAUUGACUGCUAAAUGAUGGAAUACAAUCGUGAGUUUCCAAAAUAUUAUGAACUCACCAUACCUGACAAAUAACAAUAACAUAUAAUUAACUACAAUGAUUCUAUCAACACGUACAUUAGGGAUCUUAAUUCACACUACAAAUAACAAAUGCAUAGCACUUCAUACUUCAUAGUACCGCACUGAACACAAUCAAAAGAAAAUUUAACACUGACAAUGAUUUGCAGUCAAACACACAUUAACUAAAACUAAUUUUUAAAAUGAUAAAAUUUUAAAAACAUAUAUCAACCGAAAUAUGGGAAAAAUUCAUCGCAAGUCUUACCCGGUGGGUUUGAUUUUGUCCACACCAUUGGUAUCGCCAGAUGAACCGAAUCGAUGACGAAAACAACACGGAAAUUAGAAGAAAUUGAGAGUUCAACUCGUUGGGCGACCGUAGCUUUUUUCCGAAGAAUGAC